rnacentral:lncRNA from 1 species
AGCUUUACUCGACGUCGAAAACAUAAAAAAUACAUAUACCGCUUCUUGUUCAGAACUUUUGCCUUUAGCAAAAAAAAUAUUUGCAUCAUCCACAGAUAUCACAAUAUACACAAAGAAAAUACAAAGAAGAAUUCAUUCAUGAGACUCUGUAACGAGGCAUAUAAACUUACCAUUUUUCAAAGUGAAAGAGUGAAAGAGAAAAUAGUAGCGUUAUACACGUUUUGUGAUUUCACUGGUAGUAGUGUGUAACGUCUUCCAAA